CUCGAAGUGGGGCAGCCCUAAGGAACCAGCCAGGCAGGAGAAGCAGAUUUCGGUGUGAUUUAUGACUGGCUGCGGGCUGCUUGGGGAAGGUUCUGAAACAGGUGUGUGGUGCCUGGUCACCCCAUGGAGCUCUCGCCUCCUUCUGGGCUAUCACUGCACCUGCUCUACUCUAGACAACUUCAUUCAGAAUCUGCUGUUGCCUUUUCCAUGACGGACUCAUGGCUACUGCAUCAGCACAGAGGUGAAAUAGACCAGAGGAGCCAUUCAGUCACCUACGCAGCAUCGCUGCAGAUGAGCUUACAGUUGGUCUGCUGGAGAACCUGUGGACUGAAAGGUUACUCCCCAGCAGUAUUAAACCAAAAAUAAACUAGUGAUUUUCCUGAGCAAGAGAGUGAGGUGCAGUAUAACUUCAGGAAAUACCAGGCUCCUCAGAUGAAACCAUCAUACCCUUUUUAUGCAGAAAUUUCACACAAACUUAUCUUGAACAACUUGAAGUGUUUAGGGUUUUUGCACUACAAUGAUGGUAUAGCUACGUCAGAUAAAACAGAAAAAUGUAUUUUAUAUUCAUAUGUAUUACUUAAUACAAGUGCUAUUCCAACCACGCUGCUCAUCCCAGGAACUGAAGUAAUCCACAUCCUCAUGGGAGAAAUUGAAGUCUGGACCAACCCUAGUGCACCUCCCACUCCACAUCCUUGGAGCAAGACAUUCUUCCAUUUUUCUUCAAACUGUAAAUGCUGUAUGAAGCACCGUAACAGAAUAUAUUGCUCCUGCUUUGCUCCAUAACAUCUUAGUAUGUUUCCUGACCACUCCACAAAGAUAUUCCUUCUCUGUGACAACUCUGAGAAGUCAUUCUCUAUCACUGUUGUUUGGAAAUUACUACCUAAGGGAUCAGAAAAUUCAUUUCCAAUGGAUGGGACAGCCUAAAUCUUCAUAAAUUCUGUGAACUUUGCAACUCUGUUACAGACCCAGUUGAACGUCUGGAUGUCUCACAACUUGGUACGUCCAAGUUUAGGAUAUGUUCUUAGGUGCAAAUCCACUAAUAUAAUAGUAGGAAAUUAUUUAGCUACAGGUACCUAGAGCUGUUUCCUUUUUGGACUACAGAAGUUAACAGUGAUUACAAAAACCUGUCAUGCCUUUAAUUUGUUUUAAAGAUACAAUACUCCUCCCUACCUUUUAAUAACACUACACCCUGCGCUCUUUCCAAAGUUCUAUAAAUGGCCUUAAAAAGAGAACUCUGAAUCUGUGAAAUGUGGCAAGUUGAC
rnacentral:lncRNA from 1 species